rnacentral:rRNA from 1 species
UACGAAGGGGACUAGCGUUGUUCGGAAUUACUGGGCGUAAAGGGCGCGUAGGUUGUACGGUAAGUCAGGUGUGAAAGCCCAGGGCUCAACCCUGGAACAGCAUUUGAUACUGCCGUGCUGGAGUGUGGGAGAGGAAAGCGGAAUUCCGAGUGUAGAGGUGAAAUUCGUAGAUAUUCGGAAGAACACCAGUGGCGAAGGCGGCUUUCUGGACCACAACUGACACUGAGGCGCGAAAGCGUGGGGAUCAAACAGG